rnacentral:tRNA from 1 species
GAGAUCAUACUUUAUAGAGAAGGUCUAUUUUGCGUAUAGAAAGAGAGUUAUCUGAUUUCA